AUUGAACGCUGGCGGCAGGCCUAACACAUGCAAGUCGAACGAGUGGCGGACGGGUGAGUAAUGUCUGUGAAACUGCCCGCUGGAGGGGGAUAACUACUGGAAACGGUAGCUAAUACCGCAUACCAUCGGAGGUGCCCAGCUGGGAUUAGCUAGUAGGUGGGGUAACGGGUCACCUAGGCGACGAUCCCUAGCUGGUCUGCGAGGAUGACCAGCCACACUGGAACGGAGACACGGUCCAGACUCCUACGGGAGGAAGCAGUGGGGAAUAUUGCAAAAUGGGCGAAAGCCUGAUGCAGCCAUGCCGCGUGUAUGAAGAAGGCCUUCGGGUUGUAAAGUACUUUCAGCGGGGAGGCGUUACCCGCAGAAGAAGCACCGGCUAACUCCGUGCCAGCCGCCGCGGUAAUUC
rnacentral:rRNA from 1 species